rnacentral:rRNA from 1 species
AGUGAACGCUGGCGGUAGGCCUAACACAUGCAAGUCGAACGGCAGCACAGUAAGAGCUUGCUCUUACGGGUGGCGAGUGGCGGACGGGUGAGGAAUACAUCGGAAUCUACUUUUUCGUGGGGGAUAACGUAGGGAAACUUACGCUAAUACCGCAUACGACCUACGGGUGAAAGAAGGGGAUCUUCGGACCUUGCGCGAUUGAAUGAGCCGAUGUCGGAUUAGCUAGUUGGCGGGGUAAAGGCCCACCAAGGCGACGAUCCGUAGCUGGUCUGAGAGGAUGAUCAGCCACACUGGAACUGAGACACGGUCCAGACUCCUACGGGAGGCAGCAGUGGGGAAUAUUGGACAAUGGGCGCAAGCCUGAUCCAGCCAUACCGCGUGGGUGAAGAAGGCCUUCGGGUUGUAAAGCCCUUUUGUUGGGAAAGAAAAGCAGCAGGUUGAUACCCCGCUGUUCUGACGGUACCCAAAGAAUAAGCACCGGCUAACUUCGUG